rnacentral:rRNA from 1 species
UACCUGGUUGAUCCUGCCGCUAGUCAUAUGCUUGU